rnacentral:rRNA from 1 species
GACAGAGGCCUCAAGCGUUAGGCGGAAUCACUGGGCUUAAAGCGUGUGUAGGCGGAUCGUUAAGUGCCUUGUGAAAUCCCACGGCUUAACUGUGGAACGGCUGGGCAUACUGGCGGUCUUGAGCCAUCUAGGGGCGACUGGAACAAACGGUGGAGCGGUGAAAUGCGUAGAUAUCGUUUGGAACGCCAAUGGUGAAAACAGGUCGCUGGGGAUGAGCUGACGCUGAGGAGCGAAAGCGUGGGGAGCGAACAGG